rnacentral:rRNA from 1 species
AUUGAACGCUGGCGGCAGGCCUAACACAUGCAAGUCGAACGGUAGCACAGAGAGCUUGCUCUCGGGUGACGAGUGGCGGACGGGUGAGUAAUGUCUGGGAAACUGCCUGAUGGAGGGGGAUAACUACUGGAAACGGUAGCUAAUACCGCAUAAUGUCGCAAGACCAAAGAGGGGGACCUUCGGGCCUCUUGCCAUCGGAUGUGCCCAGAUGGGAUUAGCUUGUUGGUGAGGUAAAGGCUCACCAGGGGGACGAUCCCUAGCUGGUCUGAGAUGAUGACCAGGCACACUGGAACUGAGACACGGUCCAGACUCCUACGGGAGGCAGCAGUGGGGAAUAUUGCACAAUGGGCGCAAGCCUGAUGCAGCCAUGCCGCGUGUGUGAAGAAGGCCUUCGGGUUGUAAAGCACUUUCAGCGGGGAGGAAGGCGGUGAGUUUAAUAAGCUCACCGAUUGACGUUACCCGCAGAAGAAGCACCGGCUAACUCCGUGCCAGCCGCCGCGGUAA